AAAAUUUAUUGUGCAGGCUAAAUUAUGAGCAUACUAGCACUUUAUAUAUUUUUGUAUCCUAUUAUUACAUAAUGGUAUCUGUACCUUCUUUAUGACAAGGUAUUUACAGAUUUUGUUAUGCUAUUUAUCUCAUAAUUAUUGUCUUUUAUUUGGCAAGUUGUUUCCUCAUUUACAUGUACUAUUGCUAUGUUUAAUUUAAUCUCAUCCAUGAUAUUUUAAAUGCAUGUGCUUCCAGGGUGGUUUUAUAUUUGUUUUUUUGCCAAGAAUCCAGUGAUACUACUGGUCCUAAGAUUUAUUAUUUUUAUUUUUAUGUUUUGUUUUGUUCUGUUUUGUUUGGAGAGAGCAUUAUUUUUACUUUAAGCAUAUCCUAAACUUAGGUAUCAGAAAUUUUAAACUCUGAUGUUAUGAGAUAAAAUGAAUUCCUAAGAAAGUCCCUCUCCUUCCUUCCCUUCCUGGUAAUUACACAGAGACAUACAUGAAUACUUAUUACUGUUUGGGGCUUAAAGACAUAUUUUGCCUUUUCUGCAUUUCUACUGAAAUAGUAAUUCUUUCAGGGUGAAGCUUCACAUAUGAAGUCUCAAUUCCAGCUGCCACAUCAUUGUGUAUAAAGGCAUCACUCCCUGAGUCCCUGUGGGAAUUUCUUUCCAAUCGCCAAAUUGCUGAGACAAGCACCCUUUCACACUCCAAGGAACUAUGAAUUCUCAGUCCAUUUUUUGACACAUGGAGACUUCUCUUUCUUUUUGGGGGUAACAGUAUACUUUAUUGAUGGUACAUGACAAGCCAACACUUUGGAUGGAGGAGCAGGGAAGAUGAAUCUGAAAUCCAAACUGAAAACAGCUGGAAAAAGCAAAAACUUCCCAGGAUCCUGGACCAACAGGGGUUAAAAUCAGAGAAAGCUGAAAAGGAUCCUACUGUCCAUUUGCAUUGCUUCAGGGAAGAGCAAAAGCCUGAGAUUGCCAGAGGGCCAGACAGCUAA
rnacentral:lncRNA from 12 species